rnacentral:rRNA from 1 species
GCGGAGGGAUCAUUAUAGAGUUUUCAAAACUCCCAAACCCAUGUGAACUUACCAUUGUUGCCUCGGCGGAGCCUACCCUGUAGCUACCCUGUAGCGAGUUACCCUGUAACGACCUACCCUGUAGCUACCCUGUAGCGCACCCCGCCGGUGGACUUUCAAACUCUUGUUAUUUAAACUGAAUCUGAGCGUCUUAUUUUAAUAAGUCAAAACUUUCAACAACGGAUCUCUUGGUUCUGGCAUCGAUGAAGAACGCAGCGAAAUGCGAUAAGUAAUGUGAAUUGCAGAAUUCAGUGAAUCAUCGAAUCUUUGAACGCACAUUGCGCCCAUUAGUAUUCUAGUGGGCAUGCCUGUUCGAGCGUCAUUUCAACCCUUAAGCCUAGCUUAGUGUUGGGAGUCUACCGUAAAAGGUAGUUCCUGAAAAACAACGGCGGAUCUAUGGUGUCCUCUGAGCGUAGUAAAUCUUUUAUCUCGCUUUUGUCAGGCGCCGUGGCCCUUGCCGCUAAACCCCCUAUUUUUUAAUGGUUGACCUCGGAUCAG